rnacentral:rRNA from 1 species
AUUGAACGCUGGCGGCAGGCUUAACACAUGCAAGUCGAGCGAGCGGCGGACGGGUGAGUAAUGUCUGGGAAACUGCCUGAUGGAGGGGGAUAACUACUGGAAACGGUAGCUAAUACCGCAUACCAUCAGAUGUGCCCAGAUGGGAGUAGCUAGUAGGUGGGGUAAUGGCUCACCUAGGCGAAGAUCCCUAGCUGGUCUGAGAGGAUUACCAGCCCCACUGGAACGGAGACACGGUCCAGACUCCUACGGGAGGCAGCAGUGGUGAAUAUUGCACAAUGGGCGCAAGCCGGAUGCAGCCAUGCCGCGUGUGUGAAGAAGGCCUUCGGGUUGUAAAGCACUUUCAGCGAGGAGGCGUUACUCGCAGAAGAAGCACCGGCUAAAAAAGUGCCAGCAGCCGCGGUAAUUC